GCUGGCGGUAGGCCUUAUACAUGCAAGUCGAGCGAGAAAGUAUCUUCGGAUAUGAGUAGAGCGGCGGACGGGUGAGUAACGCGUAGGAAUCUACCUAGUAGAAGGGGAUAGCCCGGGGAAACUCGGAUUAAUACCGUAUACCUCCUUAGGGAGAAAGAGGGCCUCUCUUUGAUGCUCUCGCUACUAGAUGAGCCUGCGUAAGAUUAGCUAGUUGGUGAGGUAAUGGCUCACCAAGGCGACGAUCUUUAGCUGGUCUGAGAGGACGAUCAGCCACAUUGGGACUGAGACACGGCCCAGACUCCUACGGGAGGCAGCAGUAGGGAAUAUUGGACAAUGAGCGCAAGCUUGAUCCAGCCAUACCGCGUGUGUGAAGAAGGCUUUCGGGUUGUAAAGCACUUUAAGCAGGGAGAAAAAGUUAUAGGCUAAUACCCUAUGACCGCGAUGUUACCUGCAGAAUAAGCACCGGCUAAUUCCGUGCCAGCAGCCGCGGUAAUACGGAAGGUGCAAGCGUUAAUCGGAAUUACUGGGCGUAAAGCGCGCGUAG
rnacentral:rRNA from 1 species